AACGAACGCUGGCGGCAUGCCUAACACAUGCAAGUCGAACGAGACCUUCGGGUCUAGUGGCGCACGGGUGCGUAACGCGUGGGAACCUGCCCUUAGGUUCGGAAUAACUCCCCGAAAGGGGUGCUAAUACCGCAUAAUGUCUUCGGACCAAAGAUUUAUUGCCUUUGGAUGGGCCCGCGUUGGAUUAGCUAGUUGGUAGGGUAAAAGCCUACCAAGGCGACGAUCCAUAGCUGGUCUGUGAGGAUGAUCAGCCACACUGGGACUGAGACACGGCCCAGACUCCUACGGAAGGGAGCAGAGGAGAAUAUUGGACAAGGGGCGAAAGCCUGAUCCAGCAAUGCCGGGUAAGUGAUGAAGGCCGUAGGGUUGUAAAGCUCUUUUACCCGAGAUGAUAAUGACAGUACCGGGAGAAUAAGCACCGGCUAACUCCGUG
rnacentral:rRNA from 1 species